AUGCAAUUACAUGUAUCUUCCUAUGGAGGGCGCUCUAUGUGUUAGAAGACUAGAGCGUCCUACUAGCAAACAUUCUCUCUCUCUACCAGCGACAUAUUUCCUGUGAACGUGCACCUGAAAGAGCUCCCGGAUUAGAAGAUAAAUAAUAACGAAAUACUUUUGAAAAGUCAAUACUUUACAUCUAGUUAUAUCCAUAAGAUAUUAGUCUACCUCAAACUCAACUUUGAAUAAGAAAGAAAAGUGAUUCUGUCGAGUUUACAGCAAAUUGGAACUCCGAUUGGUUUUUUGAACGACCAGAUCAGAUUCGGAUCCCAGAUGGUGAGCCCAGCCCAGUGAGACUGAGAACGAUCGUGGAAGCGGUGUGGCCAACCGUACGAUUUGUCUCAGAGAAACCCAAGAUUUGUUCAUUCGUUCAUCGAACACCAGAUAAGAUUUUCCACACUGUUGACUCAACACAGUAGUCAUAUCCGCACACAUUCAAGGAACUGAACUUUGGGAAUCGAUACACACACACGUUCAAGGAACUGAACUUUAGGAAUCAAUACACUUUUCAUACAGGAACUGAUAUACACUUUUCAUACAGGAACUGAUACACACUUUUCAUACAGGAAUUGAACUCUUUCUUGAAUCAGUACAUACAGGAAUAAGGGGCUUGAAUUCUAAGUUUCCUUUGAUUUUCGUAUUUUAUUUGUUCGAAGAGCUCUUCCUUAUCAUUUCAAUUAUAUUUUGCCCAUUCAAUGCUGUGUAACCACACUGCUGUUUUGGAGGCAAUAAAACUGUCAAUUGUUCAACUUAUUAAUUCCUCUUGUGAGUUAGUCCAUUUAAGCAUACCCCUCUCCCGAGCCUAGGUUGAUGUUUAGUGCUUGAAUUACUGGUCCAGGUCUACGAGCGCUACAUUAGUUUAUGUACUUUAGCCUUGCAUUGUUUUAUAUGGGUGCACACAUUUUAACACUGUAAGGUUAUAUAAGUUGUUUGUUGCUAAUCAUGUGUUUCUUUUGUCUUGAGUUACCUGGGCUGAGCGUUGGGGGCGUUCCCUUCCUGGUUGGGCAAAGGCGUGGCUGAGGGCUGAGGGGACCUAAGUCUGGGUACCGACCUAUUAGACCGUACCACGUCUGCCAUGUGUCCGAGGGGGGAAUUUGGCCUUAGUUACUUUGCUCUGUGUUAUGAUUUAAGUCUAUGUAUUUAGUGUAUCCCCUUUUUGUGUCCUUUGGUUUGGCCAAGCCGAUAUAUAUGUUCCCUUUUGUUUCAUUGUGUCAGGUCAGUUUUUUGUUCAGUCUACGUCGCGGCAGUUCUGUCUUUAGUGUCAUUAUACUUUUGGUUGACCUCUUUUAUAGGCCUAAUUAUCAGUUUGUAGACUUUGUCAGUUUUGAUCAUUUUUUGGGUAAUAAAAUCCCUCCAUUUUGAACCAAA